ACUAAAGAAAGCCUAGAAUCCACAGCAGGUGACACGUAGGUGAGACACUUGAGGUGAGACUGAUGGUGACUGAAGUCCCACUUAGAACAGUGAUGGGCAACCCGCAGGGAAAGGUUCACAGGCCUUUUUUCUGUGGAUCACUAAAGAAAGCCAAGUGUGAUCACCACGAGAGGAGACGACACAAUCCAGCAGCGGUGCCAGCAGGAAAGCUCACUGUGGCAUGCCCAAAGUGCAAGAAUAUCUGCGCUAGCUGCAUGUGCACAAAGGUUUGGAUUUGCCUAAAACCAGCCCUGAGCUGGAGGGGAAACAAUGAGAGAGUGUAUAGGUAGGCACCUACCCCACCACCCGGGGCUGCCUGCUGGAGAGGUUUUGGUUUCACGGCAGGAACACAAAUAAAGCACAACGCUAAAUAAUUAAAGCCUCUCGUUAAAGGGCAAGUCAUUUAUUGUUAUCAGGAGGGUAUUUUUUUGUGCAUCACAGGCAAAGCUUAUUUUGGAAGAUUUUAAAAUGUUUUCCUAAGAGCAAACAUAAUCUCUCCUAGCAUUUGCAAAACUUACAUUACCCCGGGUAAAAAAAUACCCAACAACACUGAGCACAUCAGCUUAUCUGAAACCUAAUACUGUUAUUGUAAGGUUUUGUAUAGCUCACUUCCUGUCUUUAUAGUUACACAACAGGAUAUUUAAAUUACAAAGACAAUGAAGAAACACAGCGAAAUACUCCUGAUAUUAAAAAUAUUCCAGUUGUUUUUAAUGCCCUAAUUCCACGCAGAACUAAUUGGCAAACACAAAGCCACUUCGAGAGCCGUGCUGGCUAAACACACCGCAGGUUUUGCAGCCAGCCAGCAGGCAGGUUCACGGUUUGUCAGCCGUCCCACUAUGCUGUGAAAAACGUGCAACUUGCUACUCCAAUGGCAGCCGCUCACCCGCCGCCGUUAGCAGUCUGUCCCUGUUUCCAUUGUUAACUUAGUCUUCGGGGUUUAAUAUCUCACCUGUAUGAAAUUGCAUCGGGGUAAAGCUCAACACACAGGUGUGUCUGGGUAUUACUCUUCUAUUUUUUUAACAACAAAAUUAAAUUGUAUCAAUCAGCACUGAGGAAUAUAUAUCUUCUCUUUUUUUUCUUUAGUUUCAGGCAGUUUAUUCCAUCCAUAAUCUAAACAGAAACAAAACUUUUCACCGA